rnacentral:rRNA from 1 species
AGAGUUUGAUCCUGGCUCAGGACGAACGCUGGCGGCGUGCUUAACACAUGCAAGUCGAACGGGAUUUAGUAAACAGAAGCCUCGGUGGAAGAUUACUAAUGAGAGUGGCGAACGGGUGAGUAACGCGUGAGCAACCUGCCUAUGACAGUGGGAUAGCCUCGGGAAACCGGGAUUAAUACCGCAUAAAAUCGUAGAAACACAUGUUUUAACGGUCAAAGAUUUAUCGGUCAUAGAUGGGCUCGCGUCUGAUUAGCUAGUUGGUGAGAUAACAGCCCACCAAGGCGACGAUCAGUAGCCGGUCUGAGAGGAUGAACGGCCACAUUGGAACUGAGACACGGUCCAAACUCCUACGGGAGGCAGCAGUGGGGAAUAUUGCACAAUGGGGGAAACCCUGAUGCAGCGACGCCGCGUGAACGAAGAAGGUAUUCGUAUCGUAAAGUUCUGUCCUAUGGGAAGAUAAUGACAGUACCAUAGAAGAAAGCUCCGGCUAAAUACGUGCCAGCAGCCGCGGUAAUACGUAUGGAGCGAGCGUUGUCCGGAAUUAUUGGGCGUAAAGGGUACGCAGGCGGUUUAAUAAGUCGAAUGUUAAAGAUCGGGGCUCAACCCCGUAAAGCAUUGGAAACUGAUAAACUUGAGUAGUGGAGAGGAAAGUGGAAUUCCUAGUGUAGUGGUGAAAUACGUAGAUAUUAGGAGGAAUACCAGUAGCGAAGGCGACUUUCUGGACACAAACUGACGCUGAGGUACGAAAGCGUGGGGAGCAAACAGGAUUAGAUACCCUGGUAGUCCACGCCGUAAACG